GCGGGGUUUCACCAUGUUGGCCAGGCUGGUCUAGAACUCCUGAUCUCAAGAGAUCCACCCACCUCGGCCUCCCAAAGUGCUGGGAUUACCUGCAUGAGCCACUGCACCUGGCUUCAGCCCUUUGUUUUAUCCAAGAGAAGGUCAAGAGCAGAUAAAUUGGAUCUGUGCCCGCAGAGAGAGCCUGCUCCAGCCUCUUUGCUACAGCCUUGAGUCUUCUGCUGUGAUAGGAUGCUAGAGAGGAAAAUUUGGAAUUAGCUUUUAAAAGGAAGAGAAAUGACGGUGUAACCAUCUGCCAAAUACAUGGAAACAACAACAACAAAAACCUCAUCAUUCACCUGGCCUGGCAAAUAGGUUUGUGCAUUUUUUUUCUUUUCUGUCCACCCUGUUGUUUGUCAGAGGUUGACCAAGAACUUGUCCAAGGGCCAUUCCUGUGGUGUCAUUGGUUAGAGACUUUUUAACAAUUUCAAGUUCUGGUGAAAUACUGUGAGUAAAUAAAGAGAGAAUUUUGCCUGAGUUUAAGGGGCUUUCCUGGGAGGUAAUGUAUUUUGUGGCCUAACACUUCAUUACUUAGCCUGCAGAUCUGGUUUCUUUUGAAAACAAACCCUAAGUCUGGAACUUUCCAUGCUGAGAGUCCACGUCAGUUUCAAGAAGGCCUGGUAAGAUGUAGCUGAGUAAAAACGAGACUCAAUAUGAAUGAUUACUGCUGUUCUUUCUCACUGGGAAGCCUGGGGACGUCAAGGAUAAAAUGACCUUUUGUACAGUGGUGAUAUUUCUCCAUGUCUCAGCCUUUUUAUCAGCAUAACUAUGGCCAAACCCAGUGCUUUUGUGGAAAACAUUGGUAGCACCGUCAUCUCAGAAGUCUUUAUGUAACUUCCCAUAGUCAUGUCAGAGGAGAUGGGGAUACAAAUCAUCAAACGCUUCUCUUUGGAUUGUGCAAGUCAGCAAAUCAGCUCUGGCGAUUUCCAAAGAGCUAAGACUACCAUCCCUGGGUAUGGUCCCUGAGUCUUCUUUCCCCAUCCUCUACAGCCCCCACUCAAAGAAAGUGCCUCAAACAGAUGGAAUGACGCAGAGGUAGAAUUGCAAACUUCAGAAAUGCAUGCUUAAGAGGGCAGGUGAGCCGGGUGUGGAGGCUUACAUCUGUCUUCCCAGCACUUUGGGAGGCAGAGGAGAGUGGAUUGCUUAAGCCCAGAAGUUCCAGACCAGCCUGGGCAACAUGGCAAAACUCCAUCUUAAUGAAACAUGCAAAAAUUAGCUGGGUGUGGUGGUGCACGCCUAUAGACCCAGCUACUCAGGGAGGAUCACCUGUACCUUGGAGGUCAAGGCUGCAGUGAGCCAUGAUGGCACCACUGCACUCCAGCCUGGGCAGCUGAGCGAGACCCAAUUUCAAGAAAAAAAAAAAAGGCAUGUGAUUAUUUUCUUCCAACAUCCAUCUGUCCCCCAAGUGUUGUAGGUCCUUCUGCACAAAAGUUCCAUACCCUCCCUUCUCCUUUGGUUUUCUAAUUUAAGUGUGAUGAGUAGCAGCCAGCCAAGUGAAAGAAAGGCCUAGGGAUUUCAAAGGAAAGAUACAAGGCUGGCGGCAAAAAGGAAGGGCUUUCUCCUCACUGGGCCCUCUUCAGUGGCUUGAACUGUGAGACUCCUGGAGGUAUCAGCGCUUGGUUCAACCCUAAAAGAAGUUGCAUCAGACAUGGCAACUUUGGCCUGCUUUGCUUGUAUUCUCUGUGGCGAAUGGAGUAUUAAUAAGUGGCUCUCUGGGGAAGUUUGCGCAGCUCAUACUAGAAAACAAAUAGAUACGUAAAGUUCUUGAAUGAUGUAGAUGUGAUGCCAUAUCUGCUCUCCUUCCCAUAAUUUCAGAGAAAAAUCAAGGACGAUGUGUGGUGAACAUAAUUCCUCAUUUUUCCUUUAUCCAUGAAAUAUUUGCUUUAAAGCAGCAGCUAAAACCACAGGUUUUAGUGAGCAGAUUAUUACCUUUCUGAGAGACACAGAGAUUAAGAGAAUGGUCAGUUGCUUGCCACUGAGUAGGGAAAAGGGAGAAAAAUUAUGAUUCAAGGCAUUUUCUCUGCUUCCAGUUAGCUGCUGGGGGGGACUGGAUUAUGCUUCUCCAAUAUCUGAAGGGUUGUUGAGCUGAAGGCAGUAAGAAGCAAAUGCAGGAAAGCUCUCAUCUUCCCCUCUGGUUACCUAAAAGCAGGACAUAGAUUUACAAAGACAAAAGGUACCCUGGCCACCCCUCCUCCCGGAGAGAACAAAGGUUAACCACUGAAGGCAACUUUGUACUCUUAUUGGCCUGGAGAUGGAACCAGAGGAAUCUACAUUAACAAGCUUUACAAAUGAGCCUUUGACUGAUAGUUAUUUGCCCCCCUCCAAGUUACCACCCAUAAAGAUUCAAAAUCCUUUGCUUUUGUCUUGCCACUUUUUUACAAAUUUCAUAGCCAGCACGAUGGCUCAUGUGUGUAAUCCCAACAGUUUGGGAGGCUGAGGUGAGAGUAUGGCUUCAAAUCAGGAGUUUGAGACUAUCCUGGGCAACAUAGCAAGACCCUGUCUCAAAAAAAAAAAAAAAUUAGGCAGGCAUCGUGGUUCACACCUGUAGUCCCAAUUACUCAGGAGGCUGAGGUGGAGGGAUUGCCUGAGCCCAGGGUUCAAGACUGGCCUGUGCAAUAUAGCAAGACCCCAUCCCUAAAAAAUAAAAAACACCUAUCAGGGUGGGUGCAUGCCAGUAGCCUCAGCUACUCAGGAGGCUGAAGAGAGAGGAUCACUUGAGUCCAGCAGGUUGGGACAGCAGUGAGCUAUGAUUGUGUCUCUGUACUUCAGCCUGAGUGACAGAGCAAGACCCUGUCUCAAAAAAGAAAAAAAAAAGUUUACUAUUUGUUGUUGAAAAUGCUAUAUAAGCUGGAAUUCAAAGCCACCUCUUUGAGAAUUACUCAUUUUCUGGGUAUAUAUGAAAUAUACAUGGUAAUAUGUGACAUAUACAUGGUAAUAAACUUCUGUUUGUUUUUCUCUUGUUUUCUCUUGUCUUUUGUAACAGGGGUCCUUUCCAACCAAGAACCUAUGGGGUCUAGUCUUCCCCUACACUGCCUUUCACUCACCACUGGGCUGCCUGCUUUAAGCUAGGAAUCAAGAGACAGUGGCCUUCCACAGGUGCCUCGACAGGUGCCUCAGCUUCCAAACAGACACAGGAAGGACCCCAGCAUGGUAGCAUUCAUCUCAUUCACCUUUAUUGGGUUAAAAGUGUGUGAGACACAAAACUGAAACUUGAAAGUUAAGAAACUUGAAAGUUAAGUAACAGCUUUUCUCUGUCUUCGUAUUUUUCUCCCAAAUACAUGCAAUCUCUAGAGAACUUCAAGAAAACUUCCUCUCUAAGCAGCAGAGAAUAGCUUGCAGAAGAGGGAAAAAUUCAAGAUCUAUUGUAUUUUAUUGAUUUAUACCUGGUUUUGUUCCAAAAUUGUUGUUAGCUGCAUGCAUAAUUAACUCUACCACUGACUGCCGUGUAACUUACUCCAAGUUCUCUUUAUUGUAGUUUCAUGCACGGCCUUGGCAUAUCCAAAGAUUAAUGAAGAUGGAUCCAAAUCCUUACUACUAAGCAAAAAGCCUCCAAGCAAAUAACAAUGGACUGAAGAGUUACCUUUGUAGGCAUAAACGUAUCAUUACAAUUAAAGAGAUGUCAAAUGAGCCAGUUGUGUGCUAGAUAAUGCUGAGGCUCAGGACACACUACCACAAAACAUGGUACCUUUCCAUUUGAGAAAACAGCAGAAGCAGGAAAGUCACUCUCACCUUCCCCACUGCCCUUCUCCCCUGAAGCAGGUCCUAAAACCUGUGACGGAUUCUCUGACCUUCACCUAAGCAGGUCAUAAGACCCUCGUUAUUUGAGAGGUGCCCUCCUUGUACCUGGAGGAAGGGAAUGUCCCUAUCUCUGAAGACGGGCACAGGAAGAAUCUGAACAAACAGGCCUUCCUAACUUCCCCACAGUUAUUACCAUGAGGUCAGACCCCCUUUGUUCAAUCACACUUCUCCAUAACUGUCCAUUUCUUCCUCAAACCUAGCAUCAUAAAUACCAGGUUUCCUUGCUUCUUUGGAUCUUCCUUUCCUUAUGAAGGCUCCCAUGUCAUGUAAAACCUAUACAUACAUUUGUUUGCUUUUCUUUUGUUCAUCUGUCUUUUGGUACAGGGGCCUCAGUCAUGAACCCAGUGAAGGGUGACAAAAGAAAUAUUUUUUCCCCUAGAAUGCAAUAGCCCACUAGUGCUCUCAAAGAUGCUGGACUUCUCUGUGAUGUUAUUUAUCCAGGAACAUUGGAGAACUAAAGGUGAUAAGAAGAAAAGAGGCAUGGAAAGCCAAUAACACAGCCAGUACCUUUGGCCAAUUGAAGCUGGCCAACUUCAAGCUAUCACUGGGCCUUAAUAAUUGUACAAAGGGAUGGGCAGUUCUGGGGCUGCACCCACAUAUCUGUGAGCUCUGCUCGGCGGUGUUUUGAGGAUAACCCUUAUCCCAGAUUUUUCAAAGUAUUGUGGUCUUGAUGGCCAGUUUCUUACGUACUCCAGAUGACUACUGCCAUGCAUGAUUGCAAAGGCUGUGCAAAUAUCAAGGACGGUUAAGGUGCUGGCGCUUUUUGUGACUCAACCUCCUUUUUCUUCAAAUCUUUAUUUUAUUUUCCUUUCAUAAUGUAACCAAUCUUUCUCACAAAAAAUUGCUUUGGGUUGCAGUGGAGAAGAAUUUUAGGAUUUUCCCGACCUGUCUUAUAUUGCUCUUUAACAACUUGUGCCUAAACUAUGGAUUUUUUUUUUUUUUUUUGUCUUUUAAAGGUAUGGAGUGAAGAAUCAGUAGUUGGUCAAGGGGAAGUGUCACUGGAAAACCAAGAUCCCCAAAGGCUUAGUUUUUUCUUUUUUUCCUGCUAACAUCUCUAAAAAGAAUUUUCCUGCAGAGCAACAGUAACAUAAAUUGACAGACAGCUGAUGUGUGUUCUUAGCAGUUUCAUUCAUUGGACAGCCUUGGUGAUUAUUAUAUUUCUCUCUCUACGACACUUGACUCAUUUACCAGCCUCAUUCCUGGUGACGCGUGUGCUGAAACACGCAGCCAAGUGUUAGUACCAGGUGGGGUGAUAGGCCAGCUCCCUGCCAGUUGCAUUUAUUUAGAGUGAAGAGGACAACAUUGAAGUGGCAUGAACAAGGCCCAGGGAAGGCUCCCAGGAAGGAGCCAGUCGACAGAUGGCAAAAGAGACUCAGGGUAUCUUUUUGCACAGGGGUCUCCAAAUAGCCAGAGGAUCUGUGCUCAGGGCAUUAUAAACACAUCACCUUAUGUUACCUUCAUCUGUGUCUACCCAGCGGUAACUCUGAUUUUUUUUUAAAUUGUGUUUGCAGGUUAGCUGCUUCAUUUGGAAAAAACUAGGAAGAGCACCGUCACCUCAGCUUCAGCUCUCCUCUUGUUUUUUCUUGGUUCUCUCUGUUCUUGCCCACCAGCCCCAUGUGUCAGGUUUGAAUCUAGGCUGGUGAAUACAUUUUGCAGGAGAUGAUAUGUAACUAGGGUACCGCUUCUCUUUCAUCAUUAUUCACUUUUUAUUUCAUCAUUCUUCACUUUUUCCUUGGUCUGCUUUCAUCUAACUAGGGGUGCCUCGGCUGACAAGGUGGACUUCUCAAGUGAGAGGUUGUAUUUUCUCUCUUCUUUUAUUAGACAUGUGGAAGUUUGGGCUCAUAGGACUAAUUAGACUAUUGAGGAAGUGAUGGGUAAAAGUCUCACACACCUUUCUUUCUUCCUUGAUAGUGUAGGGGAAGAAAAAUCAUUUUUUUCUCCAAUCUUCAUAACUUCUUAGUUGGAAUGGACCCCUGUUACAAAAGACAGAUUAACAAUUGAAAAACAGUUUAUUAACGUGUAUUUCACAUACCCAGAAAAUGAGCCUCUCAAAUAGGUGGCUUUGGAUUCCAGCUUGUAUAGCAAGUUUAACAAUGAACAGUAAAAUUUUAAAAACAAGACAAAGGAAAAGAACUUUGAGUCUCUAGAGGCUGGUGGCAACUUGGAGGAGGGCAAAUAACUGUCAGAUAAAGGCUCACUAGUAAAGCUUGUUAAUGUAGAUUCCUCUCCAGGCCAAUAAGGGCCCAAAGUUGUCUUCUCCCUGGUAGGCAGUAUAUCUUUUGCAUUUUGGUAAAUACAGAGAGAGCAGAGAAAUUUCCUGUAUCAGCUUUUAAAUUGCCUUCAGCACAACAAUGCUUCAUAGUCUGGGGUGGCAUAUUUUGAUCUCCCACAAUAUGUAUCUUGAGGUUAUUUCUGGAGACAGAGGAGGCAGGCCUGUUGUGUUUUAAAGAGUGAUAUUUAUACAUGUGUAACAAAGAACAUAUUUUGCUGACUAUUUUUCACUCUAUGAACAGGUGGUCUUGCUGUGGGGCACUUCCUUGAAUCUUAAAUCGUUGAUUACACAUGAAAAUGUCUGCAUUGCAGACAGAGAGACAGCACUUAUGAAGAUGGGGUGGCAUUGAGAGGACUGGGAUGUUCUGGGAUACAAGAGUGAUCAGAGUACCUGGAGCUUGGGAGAGGAGAGGGGAGAGGAGAGGAGAGAGAAGGCUCAGAAGUGCUUUUGAGCCAGAUCAGGAAGGGCUCAAAGCCUUGCAAAGCAGUUUGGGCUUUUUCUUGAAGGUGAAAGGAAAACCUCUGAAAGAUUUUAUGCAAGGACUGGCCAGACCAUUUUCACAUUUACAAAAUAUAAUGAUGGCAGAAUGGAGCAGCAGUAUGGAGAACAGCUGAGGGGCACAGGUGAUGGACAAGAUGUUUGAUAAAGAGGUGAUUGAAGUAACCCAUCGGAAAAAUAAUGAUGGCCUGAACCAAGUACGUUAGGAGAUGAACUUGAAAGUUAUUAAGAAAGUAGAAUGGGUGCCCCUGAUUUCUAUCUUGCCUUUCUGAUAGCCACUAGAAUGGCAUUUGGUGGCUCCUUUCUCUUUGUGGAUAGACAUGUGUUAUUGGGGGGAAUAAAGGGCCCAGUCAAAAACCUAAGUCUUCCAGACACCGUUGCAAGGGGGCUAAUGAGAUAUGGCCUAAAUGACAGGCUGGGCUUCCGGAAAACUUUUAAUGGGGGCUUACUCAGCUGGAGGUGCCUUAAUUGCAUCUUCCCUCUUUCUCUUUCUUUCUGCCUGGAACUUGGGAAUAGCCAUCUUGAAUGUAGGGAGUGAGUUGAAGGAUUUGAGGAGGGACUCGUUUAUGGCUUGGCUGAAAGGGUAGAUGAUAGUUGCAAGACACGGAACGUAAGGGAGAUUUAGGGGCCAGGAUGGUGCAUUUUGUUUUGUACAUGUUAAGUCUGAGGAAUCUCUACGAUGGCCAGUCUGUGUCCAGGAAACAACGGGAUGUGGACCUGGGCGAGAGAAAUACACCUGGAAACCAUCACUUGCCAGAGAACAGUUGACACGAUGGAAGUGUAUGAGGUCCCUGGGGAGGGUGUCUGAGAAAAGGGCCAAGGGCAGAGCCUGGGGAGCCCAGCACUGGGGCAUGAUGCAGCCCUGAGCAGGACAGGGGAGAAGCAUCCAAGGAGCUGGGGAGACGCCCUGGAGAGGGCAGUGUCCUGGACAUCAAGGACAUUCAGAGGACACAGUGGUCUCUAAUGCCACAGUAAGAAAGGACUUAGGGGACAGUGGGGUCAGGAAGGAAAAUGGCCAGAGGACUGCUGCUUUCUACAAAAAAGACUCUCAGAACCAUCUACACACAGAAGGUGGCCACAGGCGCAAUUUGUGUCAUGAUGCCACCACACUUGUGAUUCUCUGGAGUCUUGUAAUACCCUGUUAUUGGUUCCUUUUUUAAUACAAUUCUCUCUCCCAUCAACUUAUCUAUCUCUCCAACUGUGUCAAUGAUAUAUUUCACUUAAGAUCAAAAUGAAUGCACAUGCAUUAAAUGUUCAUUUUAAGUUCUUUCUUUUUCUUUUUUGAGACGAAGCUUUGCUCUUGUUGCCCAGGCUGGAGUGCAGUGGCGUGAUCUCGAAUCACUGCAAUCUCCACCUCCCGGGUUCAAGCGAUUCUCCUGCCUCAGCCUCCUGAGUAGCUGGGAUUACAGGCAUGCGCCACCAUGCCCGGCUAAUUUUGUAUUUUUAGUAGAGAUGGGGUUUCUCCAUGUUGAUCAGGCUAGUCUCAAACUACUGACCUCAGGUGGUCUGCCCACCUCAGCCUCCCAAAGUGCUGGGUUUACAGGCGUGAGCCCCCUUGCCCAGCCAAGUUAUUUCUUGAUAAAGAGUUUUGGGGGAUCCCUUGUAGCACACCGAUGUGAAACCCAUCGAGACUGGAUUCUGUGUUCUGUUCAUUAAAUACGUCACUGUGAAGGACUCUGAUAGAAGAGAAAAAAGGCUUUUAAAGAAGGUUAAAAAAAAAAGACAAGGCAGUGGGCAAGAAUGCUUUGGUUUUCCUUGUGUGCUGUGGCAGUGGUACCAACAGAAUUUCCUUCCCCCAUGGUGGGACCUAUGAGCUCAGGGCCUCUGCCCUUUGCCACAUGCUGAACUGAGGUAUCAUGAGCUGGAUCUGUCUUCUGUCUCUAAAGUCAAAGUAGGAUGAUGCUUUCUUAACUUCUAAUUUAUUUUCUUAAACUGAGAAGUGAGGAGUAUGUCUUCUGGGGAAUGUCCUCAGAUUGCAUCAGCCAGGAGCCGUGAGGACCAGCUCUCUCCCUGGUCCAGGUCUCUCAAGGAUGCUCAGAGAACCUGUUCUGGCUCUGGGCAGCUUCCUGCUUAGAGUGAUGAAAAUAAUUGUUUUCUCAUCUAAAUGACUGUUGAGCGAUGAACUCAUUGCUUUUAGGUCUCUAAUAGGGCACUCCCCGGGGAACAGGUGAUAGUCCUCAUCUGAAACAAUUUAAUUGGGAAGAGAUUUCACUUGGUAUCUCCAAGAAGGACCCCAGGCCCUGCUUCCAUAAGCAGUGCCUUGCCACAUAGGAGCUGUGGCUGCUUCUUGACCCAUUAGCUAGGUCAAGAGUGUUAAGAACACUCUGAACAUUUACUGGGAACUCACUGGAUGUAAAGUUUCUCUUUAAGAUGUCACAUGGUGACAGAUUCAAGAUAUGAUGCCUGCUCUCGAGUGGCUUAAACUCUCCAUUUGGGUGAAGGUUAGAGAGGAAGAGGGAAAAACACUCUUGUUUGAAUGCAUCAAUUUUAGGCUAAAUAUCUAGAAGCAUAUGCAUUAUAAACACAUGAUCCAUCACAGGUAUAAACAUGAAACUCCACUUAUCUGGUGUUCACUUAUUCAAUCAGCUCAGCUAUCCAGAAAAAAGCUGAGAUCUCAGAGCAGACACAGUUUAUUAAAAAAAAAAAAAAUUAGGAUUCUACAGUUCAAAAACUUUGCUUGCAUUGUUCUGAAUUCAUUUCCUCUUAUUUUGGAUAUAUUCUAGAAAGCUUUUCCAGAACAUACCAGAUUAACGUUGUGGAGGUGAGCUGGCCCAGGCAAUGGCAAUAGACUGCCUAGAAGGAGCUGGCCCAGGCAAUGGCAAUAGACUGCCUACAAGGAGAAGUAAUUUCUGAGGACCUCACAUUAAAGCAAUGGUUCCCACACUUUUCAGACAUGCUUUAGCAUCCUCCGGAUAUCUUUCAUUAAUUUUUAAACUCAGGCCACUCACAAAAUGGAUUAAAUAAUAAUCCCUGGACAUGGGAGUGGGGGGAGGUGGGGAGGUGGGGUGAGCUGGGGGUUGGGUGGGUAAUGGAGGACACACAGGCAUCGGUAGUUUUGGAAGCUACUCAGGUGAUCCAAUGCACAGACAAGAUAGGGAGUUAUUGCAUUGGACGUUAAGGAUGAACAAGCAGAUGUUUCACUGUGUAGUAUUCUGUGGCCAUUUUGUAGUAUUCUACAGCCAUUGCCAUUUUGUGUCAGGGCAAGUACUCUUCACCUUUCUUUUUUUCUUUUUUUCUUUUUUUUUUUUUUUUUGAGAUGGAGUCCUGCUCUGUCACCCAGGCUGGAGUGCAGGAGUGAUCUUGGCUUACUGCAACCUCUGCCUCCCAGAUUCAAUUGAUUCUCCUGCCUCAGCCUCCUGGGUAGCUGGGAUUACAGGCAUGCAUCAUCACGCCCGGUUAAUUUUUGUAUUUUUAGUAGAGAUGGGGUUUCACCAUGUUGGCCAGGCUGGUCUUGAACUCCUGACCUCAGGUGAUCUGCCUGUCUCGGCCUCCCAAAGUGCUGGGAUUACAGGCCUGAGCCACUGCACCUGGCCACCUUUCACCCUUCCAAAAAGCAGCCUGUACCUUCCUUAGGUGCAUGAAGGUGAAACAAUGCCCCGAACAGGCAGGAGGGAUGUGCUUUCCUCCCCAGUCACUGGGAGUCCUGGGAGGUAUCACUGCAUUACAAAUAUAACCCACACCAAAGGCCCCUUUUCUGUCGCACAGAAUCUGUCUCCAAGGAUUCUCUGGAAAUGGAAAGUGGGAACUUGUGGGCCUUUGAGAUGGAGCAUAGUAUAGUUGUCUUCCUUUGGGUUAUAGCCUUCAGAGAGGUGCUCCUUUUCACCUUGUACAGCGUGGGCUACAAGAGGCUCUUGCCACCUUUUGCAUGUGACCAGGGAGGGAAAUGGACACCCCUCACUAGUCAGAGGAUAUUACACAUCAAUGCCCCCCCACAUCAGUGGACGUUUCUUUUCACAACUUCUUUCAUUUCUUCCUGUUUCAGUGUCUAGAACUUCCUGUUGCCACACUCUGCUCCCUUGAACUCCUUUCUAUAGAAAUAAGGGUGUUCUUGUCCCUUCAUCCAUUCUUCAGCCCUAAAAAUUUCACAGCCUCAGUCAUUUGCUAAGGAUCUACCACUUUUUAGCUCUUUCAAGCUGCUGUGGUCACAGCAGAGGAUGAUGUAAGCUCCUCUGCUCCCCUGCAUGGGGCGGGAGGGGCCGGAGAAGUGAGGGAAGAGUGGGGGCCCAGGAUUUCUCCCUUGAUUAUAGAGAUGUGGUGGAGGAUGGGGAGGCAGACGGAAAGAAAAAUGUCCCAGCUCACCCUGGCACAGAGACAUUGUUCCACAAAGAAUGCUCACUAAAAAAAUGUUUAUACUAUCAUAUUAACUUGUAAAAGAGCAAGCUAUAACAUUUUAUGUUCAAUGUAAUACAUUUUUAUUAAGGCAUAACUCCCUAAAAAUGGCUGGGUAAAAGCCUGGAAAGAGAUACACAAAUGUUAGCGGUGGUUGCUUUUUGGACGGUGUGACCAUGGCGAUUAGAAAUAUUUUUUCCCAACUUUUCACAAGAAACAUAUGGCUUUUCUCAUUUUUUUAAAAAAACGGGGUGGGGGAAAGAGCAAUUAUUUUAAGCCAGAAUGUCCAAAAUGAUGCCGUCGAGUCCAACACAAUAUUUUAGACUUUGUUAAUUCCUUUCUGUACAGGAUAGAAGACAAAGGAGGGGCUAAUCUACUUUAGCCAGAUCUAUCAAGCAAAGCAGUGGGAGUUGUUCACAUAUAAGUUCUGUACCCCCUAAAGGAGGCCCAAGUUAGUUUCUUGGCCCAUGUAAUGAAUGCUUUCUCUCUAUUGACUUUCAUUUUUUAAUAUUCUCUGUCAUGUGACAUAACAAGUCAAUGCUCCAUAAAUAUUGGUCAGUUGAAUGAAUUAAAGAAAAUAUUGAUGCUUACAGGCAGAUAGUUUUCUAGAAAAAUCUGCUUAUUUUUCUGAAUAAUUAUGAAAAACGACAUGAUUUCUAUUUUAAAAAAAAGAGAUAAUGUAUCUAUUGUCGACGGACGGUGGAUGUGAGCCAUGUGUUGUGUUCAUACUCGGAGAAUGAAGGAAAACAUCAGAGACUGGGUAAGACAUAAGCAUGAUUUUGAAGAAAUCAAUUGAAAUUUUAUGGAAAGGAACGAGGAUGUUCCAGGCAUGUGGAUUAGCUUAUGCCAAGAUCUGAUGGCUAAAGAAAGGUGAGCAUAGAGGGUGGCCAGGUUGUUGACGGGAGCAGAUGGCGUGGGCUAGAAGGAUCCUGGCAGGGGUCACUGAUAGAUAGAGGAGGAGAGAAACCCGUAGACAAACAGAUUAGAUUUCCCUCUGAUGCUGGUAAAUGCGGAGCUUUUUGUAAGUUUUGGGGGAAAGUGUGUUCCCAAACACAUAUCCUGCUCUCUUGCUCCUCUUUCUAUGGCAAAGGAGGAGAAAUUUCUUCCAGAGACAUAAGCAGGAGGAAGCUGGAGCUCUCUCCUGAGUGAUUGUCAGUUGCAGAGGAGGUGAAUAUCACAGGACAAGCAAGCGUGGGGGAGAAGACUGCCUAGACAUUCUAAAGUGGCUGCUCUGGUUGGGUGGACUGAGGGUUCCCUCCUGCAAGUUCCUGCUGAGUGUGGCUGUCCUCAGGAAACCAAGUCCCCUCUGCGGCCCUACGUGAAGAGAUCAGGAGUUACUCAAAUCCCAGCCAUCGGAAGGAAUCUUAAGCCACAUAUGAUUUCAGAGAAAGUUUCUGCUUUAUAGGGCAAAGGGGUGCCUAGGACUGAGCCUUGUAUGUGCUAAAUGCCUUGUACUAUUGAAAUGAACGAAUAAAGAGGUUUGUGGACAGCAAGCUAUAGUUCAAACUCACAUAUCCUGAGAAAGACAAGUAAUGGAUUUUCCAUUUUCAUCUAUCAGAUGGGCAAAGACCAAAAAGUUUAGUAAUCCACUGUGUUGGAGAGGGUGUGAGAAAAUACACUACCUCAUACAUUGCUGGUAGGAGUGUAUUUUGUUUAAAAUAAUCCAUGUAGGGCAAUUUGGGAGCAUCUAUUUAAAAAUACAUAUGCACAUGGCCUUUGACCCAGCACUUCCGUUUCUAGGAAUUUAUAUUAUGGAUAUACUAGCAUAUGCAAAAUGACAUUAUGUACAAGGGUAUUUAUCAUCAUAUCAUUUAUAAUAGGGCAAAGUUAGGAAUAUUCUAAUUGUCCAACAAUUAGGGAACUUGUUAAAUAAAUGCUGCUGCAUCUUAAUGAAUUUUUUUAGCUAUACAAAAAAAACGAGGACGCUUCUUACAUGCCAACGUGAAGUGAUUUCCAAGAUGCUGAUAAAUGAAAGCAAUCAAAGUGGACAAUAUUGAGUAUGUAAUGCUAGCAUUUAAAAAAGGAGAGAGCAAAAAUGCAUUUGCUUGUAAUGCUUUUAUCUGAAAAUAUAUAAUUGAAACUGAUAACAUUGUUUGCCUCUGGGAAAGAGAACCAGAUGGUUGGAGGGACAAGGUUAGGUGGGAGACUUUGAUAAACAGUAUUUGUACCUUUUGAAUUUUAAACAGCGUAAAUGUUAUUAAAGUUAUAUACUCACAACAAA